GGCGGACGGGUGAGUAACGCGUAAGAACUUGCCCUUUAGACUGGGAUAACAGAGGGAAACUUCUGAUAAUACUGGAUAAGUUAGUAUAUCGCAUGAUAUGCAAAUGAAAGCUACGGCACUAAAGGAGAGCUUUGCGUCCUAUUAGCUAGUUGGUAAGGUAAGAGCUUACCAAGGCGAUGAUAGGUAGCCGGCCUGAGAGGGUGGACGGCCACAAGGGGACUGAGAUACGGCCCUUACUCCUACGGGAGGCAGCAGUA
rnacentral:rRNA from 1 species